CAGGCAUGGUCAUUCUGCAGAUGGGGAAACUGAGACUCAGAGAGCUCCUGAUUCAGGCACUACCAGGCCGUUCAGGUGUCUUCGCUCAUUCAUGCAGCAACUUCAAGCACCUACUAUGUGCAGGGGGACACAGAGGUAACAAAAGACAACACAGUCCUUGCUCUCAAGGAUCCAGCAGUGAUCCCAAGGACAACAACACACGCCAGUUCAGGUCUAUGUCCCUGUAAUAAGAACUGAGGCUUCCAGGGUGCCUUGCAUUCUAGCCAGCCAUGUUCCAGGGAGCAGGGAGCUCCUUGAACCAGAAGUCCUGAGAUUGAGUCCUGGGACUGCAACCCUGUAACUGCACCAGACCAAUCUGAUUCAACUUUUAUGUAACGAAGUUGUGAGUUGUUUUCAGUUGCCAUGGACCUCCAGGUUCAGGUUCACACAACCUGGGCAUGCCCAGAUACACCAAGCAUGCAGCCAGGGACAGAACCUAAGUGCUAGGGCCAGGAAGUGGGGACUAAAUUAAGAAGUGGACACUGCAUGAUCCAGGAUCCAAUCAGAUUGAGCCCUGGCCUCACCCAAUGGCAGGAUCCAAUCAGAUCACACCUCCUGACAUCACCUGAUGGGAAGAGCCAAUCAGAUAUUACCCUAUGCUUAUAAAACCUGACCUAGCCUUCAGCUGGGAGACAAAUUUGAGUGUUUCCUUCUGUCUCUUUGCCAUUGAACUCACAAUAAACCCUUCUCGCUGCAAAAACUCAGUGCCUUGGUGUUUGGCUUUCUGCUGCAUGUGGGCAAUAGACCCAGUUGGGUUCAGUGACUGAGCUAGUUGGCAGGGAGCUUAGCACGAGAUGCAGUGCUCAGGACUCCACUCAGUGAGUUCCCUGGGAAUGCAUCCUUCAUUGUCGGAUUUUCCAGGGAGGAAACUGAAGCUCACUGUGAUGAAGGGGAGACCCAUGGUCACAGCUGGUGGGUGGAGGAGUGAGAUCCAACCCAGGCGUGUGGCACCAAAACGUUCUUGCUAGAACCAUGACAACAGCGUCAACAACAACAAAUAACAGUGACUGGGUGUGUGCCCUGUGCCAGGCAUUGUUCUGAAUGCUCCAUGGGAACCACCCUGACCACCCCAUGAGGGGAGUGCCCUUUCAGAGCUCAUCUUGCAAAUGAGAAAACUGAGGCUAGCAAGCAGUCAUAUGGGCAUGGGGACCCAGGAGGCCUGCCUGUAGGAGCUGAGAGCUCACCACUGCACCACGCUGUUUAGUGGGCCAAUCUGUCCUCUGACCCCAGCUGACAGGCUUCCCUAGGUUCUGGCGGUGAGAGGUAUGUUGGUUUCUAUGAUGUGUAACAAAUUAUCACAAACCUAGUGGCUUCCACAACACCCAUUCAUGAUCUGUUUUAAUGGAUCACGAGUCUGGUGCGUUCUAGCCAGUCCUCUGCCCAGCGCCUGAGAAGGCUGCAGUCAAGGUGGUGGUUGGGCUGCAUUCUUAUCUGGAGGCUCAACUGGGAAAAAUCCGCUUUCAAGCUCCCUCUGGUUGAUGGCAGGAUUCAUUUCCCUGCAGCUAUAGGACUGAGGUCCCUGUUUUCUGGCCAGCUGUUAGCUGAGAUUGCUGUCACUUUGUGGAGACCACUCACAGGUCCUUACCACAUGAUCCCUCCUGGGGCCCUUUCUCACUUCCAAUCUCUGACUUCAAGAAAGACUCAAUUCCUUUUAAGAGCUCACCUGCUUAAGCCACGCCAACCCAGACCAUCUCCCUUUUGAGGAACCCCAAGUCAACUAAGUAG
ensembl:lncRNA